rnacentral:rRNA from 2 species
UACGUAGGGGGCGAGCGUUGUCCGGAAUCAUUGGGCGUAAAGAGCGUGUAGGUGGCUUGGAAAGUCUUACGUGAAAGCCUGCGGCUCAACCGCAGAAGUGCGUGGGAAACUUCCUCGCUAGAGUCCGGAAGAGGAGAGCGGAAUUCCUGGUGUAGCGGUGGAAUGCGCAGAUAUCAGGAGGAACACCCGUGGCGAAGGCGGCUCUCUGGGACGGUACUGACACUGAGACGCGAAAGCGUGGGGAGCGAACAGG